rnacentral:rRNA from 1 species
ACUCAAAUGAAUAGACGGGGGCCCGCACAAGCGGCGGAGCAUGCGGAUUAAUUCGAUGCAACGCGAAGAACCUUACCAAGGCUUGACAUGUAGAAGAACGGGCGAGAGAUCGUCAACUCUUUGGACACUUCUAUACAGGUGGUGCAUGGUUGUCGUCAGCUCGUGUCGUGAGAUGUUCGGUUAAGUCCGGCAACGAGCGCAACCCUCGUCCUAUGUUGCCAGCACGUUAUGGUGGGAACUCAUGGGAUACUGCCGUGGUCAACACGGAGGAAGGUGGGGAUGACGUCAAAUCAUCAUGCCCCUUAUGUCUUGGGCUUCACGCAUGCUACAAUGGCCGGUACAAUGGGCUGCGAUACCGUAAGGUGGAGCGAAUCCCAAAAAGCCGGUCUCAGUUCGGAUUGGGGUCUGCAACUCGACCCCAUGAAGUCGGAGUCGCUAGUAAUCGCAGAUCAGCAACGCUGCGGUGAAUACGUUCCCGGGCCUUGUACACACCGCCCGU